ACGGGAGGCAGCAGUGAGGAAUAUUGGUCAAUGGGCGGAAGCCUGAACCAGCCAAGUCGCGUGAAGGAUGAAGGUAUUAUGUAUUGUAAACUUCUUUAGCAGUGGAGUAAUAAGGGAGUCGUGACUCCUGAUGCAAGUACACUGAAAAUAAGGAUCGGCUAACUCCGUGCCAGCAGCCGCGGUAAUACGGAGGAUCCGAGCGUUAUCCGGAUUUAUUGGGUUUAAAGGGUGCGCAGGCGGCCUUGUAAGUCAGCGGUUAAAUCGUGGAGCUCAACUCCAUCCCGCCGUUGAUACUGCAGGGCUUGAUUGCGGUUGAGGUUGGCGGAAUUCGUCGUGUAGCGGUGAAAUGCAUAGAUAUGACGAAGAACCCCGAUUGCGUAGGCAGCUGACCAAGCCGUAAAUGACGCUCAUGCACGAAAGUGCGGGGAUCGAACAGGAUUAGAUACCCUGGUA
rnacentral:rRNA from 1 species